UNGUUGGCCAUUCCACUGUAGUAAACAGUC
rnacentral:piRNA from 1 species